rnacentral:antisense_RNA from 2 species
CUUGAUGGACCCCAGCCACAGGGGCCGGUCCUCGUCGCGCCCCUGCCCGUAGGUGGCGAGCAGCGCCUGCGCCUC